rnacentral:rRNA from 1 species
AGAGUGAACGCUGGCGGUAGGCCUAACACAUGCAAGUCGAACGGCAGCACAGUAGGAGCUUGCUCUUACGGGUGGCGAGUGGCGGACGGGUGGGGAAUACAUCGGAAUCUACCUUUUGGUGGGGGAUAACGUAGGGAAACUUACGCUAAUACCGCAUACGCCCUUCGGGGGAAAGCCGGGGACCAGCAAUGGCCUGGCGCUGAUAGAUGAGCCGAUGUCGGAUUAGCUAGUUGGUGAGGUAAUGGCUCACCAAGGCGACGAUCCGUAGC